GUGGAAGUGAGGAUCCUUUCCCCAUCUGACCGACUAUAAUUAUACUGUGCCCCAAUGUAAUCCUUUAUCAAAGUAUUCCAAGCCAAAAAAAAGAUCCAU
rnacentral:snoRNA from 2 species